rnacentral:rRNA from 1 species
UACGUAGGGUGCAAGCGUUAAUCGGAAUUACUGGGCGUAAAGCGUGCGCAGGCGGUUUUGUAAGUCUGUCGUGAAAGCCCCGGGCUCAACCUGGGAAUUGCGAUGGAGACUGCAAGGCUUGAAUCUGGCAGAGGGGGGUAGAAUUCCACGUGUAGCAGUGAAAUGCGUAGAGAUGUGGAGGAACACCGAUGGCGAAGGCAGCCCCCUGGGUCAAGAUUGACGCUCAUGCACGAAAGCGUGGGGGAGCAAGCAGG